UCCCACGCCAGCCCCUCCCUCCCACUCUCUCUCUCUCUAGUCUCUAGAACCUCCUCGAUUUAUUCCGGAUUAGGGCUUUUUCUCUUGAUCUGCAGUGGUGGAAUAUCGGCCAAGUUCGUUCUUCUCCGGCGAGGUGUUGAAUAAUUUGCGCUUUGUUUGGCUGCUGGGAAACGUCUGGAAAGGGGAAAGAAAUCACUUGGUUUUGUUUUUUUGUCAGUUGAUGUGCCGACUCUGAUAGGACUGUUUUGCUUACUCGAGUGUGCUAUUUGAUUUUUGAAAAGUUUUAAUGACCAUAGAAGAGAUCAGGUCCUUUGCUUUUUUGGAGAAAGAACUCGGUUCUGAGUUUUCUAUUAAUUGGGAAUGUGGGGGACUGAAAACUUCGAAGAACUGAGCUCGAUUGACUAUUUGGUUUACUUGUGCGUGCUAUCUGAUUUUUGAGCAAUUUCAUAUCCACGUAUCUUCCCUGUUUCCUCAGCUUCCAAUCGAGUUUGUCGGGGAAGAAGGAUUAAGAGUUAGGGUGUUUGAAUUGAUUAUUGAAGAAGAGAUUAUCACUGUUGAUUUCUAAUUAUUUUAGUUUCCUUGUUUCUAAUACGGGUUUGACGAGUGGAGGCAAGAAGGGAUUCGCGGUUUAAAUAUGACAUCCGACCUAGCAAGCGCAUAUGCUCUCAGCGCUGGAUGAAGUGGAGUGCAGUAAUGUCUGACCUGUGUAUCUUUGAGCUUGGAGAUAUUGUUUGGGAUGAAUUUGGUCAAACUGAUGACCAUAUAGUACCUCAACCUGGUAACAAGCAUGGGAUUGACCCUGUGUUUCAGAGUGGUAGCUGUAAGAAACCUCGACAUGAAGUAAUUGGUGGUUCAAGUAAUUCAAGUGAGUGUUAUACUGCUAAUUAUGUCAGUCACGGUAGGGAAGGUGGACUUAAAGCUCUGAAGAACACAAGGGAUACGAUGAUGGAAAAGGAUCCAUGGUCUUACACACCCGAAGGUGUGGUCAAUGCUUCACAUGAUGGUCACACAAACAAAGAAACAACCAGCUUAUCAUCUGAUAAUACAAGGACGCCCAGCCAUUACCUAAAAAGUAGUGACAUAGAUGCAAUCAAUACAGAUCUUGGUGCUGAAGAUCCUGUUGAAGGAAGGUGUGCUGAUAUUGAUAAUGACUCAUAUUGUUAUCCUCUUGGUGAAAUUUCUCAGUCAGGAAAUGAACUCAGUUUUUUACAUAAUGAUUAUGAGGACAAAGAGCCUAAUGAUCUCCUAUAUUAUGAGUGGCCUGAUAUUGAAAACUUUGAGGAUGUUGACAAGAUAUUUAGAAGUUGUGAUUCAACAUUUGGGCUCGGAAGUGUUGCUAAUGAAGAUGAGUUGAGUUGGUUUUCACCAUCACAUACUAUUGAAGGAUCUGAAGAUGUAUUGAAGUCAGACUUCAAGUUCUGUUUCCCCCAGUCAAGUCCACUUAAAAGUAUGCUAGACCAACAUGAACAUGGUAAACUAAAUGAUGGAAGUUUUUCAAACAAUGGUUCUAAUGUGGACAGUACAUCUGUUAGCUACAAAUCUCGUUUUCAGGCAUCGGAAUGUGGUGAGCCUGAUGCUAUUGGUCACUUGACUUUGAUGAAUGAGUCUGAUGCUCUCUCUCAAAGCAAGGAUCAUUUUGCACCUAAAGGGCAGGGAGUUGAUGUUAAAGGUGCCUUCUCAACUGUCAAGCAGUCUAAAAAUGAGAAGAGUGAGAUGAUCAAAUUUCAGAAAGAAAAGCACUACAUCCCGUCAGAAGGAAAAAGAAAAGAAAGAUGCUUUGAAAAUGGUGGUUCCUUUCACCAUAGUAGCCAACCGAGACUAAAAGAGAUAAAGUCUCCUUCUGCAGACUCAUCUCAUCAAGCUUACACUUCUUCGAAUGUUCAGAAACAAAAGAAAAACAUAGUACCAGAUUCGUUUGGUUACAUGCAGACCCAUAUUCCAUACAUGAAUUUGGAUUAUGGUCAUCCUUCAGAUCAAAUUCCUGUCAGCUCAACGCCAUCUACUAUCAAGUCCGAGAGUAAUGGGAUCACGUCUCUUUCUCCAAAGGAGUCUUCUGAUGCAUCAAAUCAGGUUAAAUCCACAGAGAGCUCUCGUGAUUGUUCAUUUGGGGCUCCCAUCGUAACAGUGGAUGACAAAAGGGAUAAGCUACAGCACCGACAAACACUUUGUCCCACAUAUAUGAACAAUCUUAAACACGGGGAUUUGGUUCAAACAACAGCAGGCAAUUCACUUUCAGUCCAAAUGAAAACCCACUGUACUCAACCCGAAGUCCAAAAUCAAAGUGAAGGUGAAGAAUUUAGCAUAAGAAUUCCCGUAGAUUUAGAUUCUUCAAAUGUACAGGAAAGCUCUUGCAUGAGUACUGGGUUGGAUGAGAUCUCACUGGAUGCAUCUAGUUUUUGCCAGCUUCAACAAGUCAUGGAACAGCUGGACAUAAGGACAAAGGUAUGCAUAAGGGAUAGUCUGUAUCGCUUGGCUAGGAGUGCUGAGCAAAGACAUCACUAUGCAAACUUGAACAGUGGCAGCAUAGAUGACAGAGACAGUGGAGGAGCAUUAACAAAUGAAGGAACAAACAAGUCCAUUGGAUUUAUGGAUAUGGAAACUGAUACAAAUCCUAUAGAUCGAUCUGUGGCGCACUUGCUGUUUCACCGGCCUUCAGACUCAUCUUCAAUACCAGCUCAUGAUGGGUUGUCUCUCAAGUCAUGUAAUAUGAUUCAUGGGUCUGCCAAUGUUCCACCUGUGAUGGUUGAGAAACUAGUUUGUCAGGAAGAUGCUGCCAGUGAAGCAGACAAAAAAGUGACAGAUCAAUGAUUAUGACUUAUGAAACCAUUGGCUUCAGCACGUUGACAAAUGAAAUGUGUAUAUUAGAUUUCUAUGCAUGGUCUUUGUAUGAUACAUCAGGGAGGUUCCCAUGGAAAUGCCAGGAAAUCAUAUUUGUUUUGGAGUUGUAAAAGUGCGAGGGACAUGACCAGUAUGCUACCAACGAACUCGUCGUCCUUCUCUGAUUUCAUUUUCAUGUUUUCUUACCCGGACAAUGCAUGCUAUAUAUAUGGUGAUAGCAGGAGGCCAAGCAUUUUUAACUUUACACGGUCAGCUGUGUCGUUAAACCUGCCAUUGCUUGACAUCCUGGCCAUGGUCGCGAUGUGUUUUUAUGGUCGUAGAGAGAGUUUGGUACCAUGUGAACUCCAUGUUUGCGUUUUGACAUGAAAUUCCUUGAGAAUUUAACCACAUCCAUGGCUAGUUUAUGGCUCUGAUCAGCCCCUCAAGUGCACAAUGUGUAGGAUUGUUUUCAGAGUGCUUGUUGGGUGCAAUUUUUAGUUUUCAUCUCA